rnacentral:rRNA from 1 species
UAGAAAGCUUUCGAGUGCCUAAACAUGCAGUCUACGAGAAACGGGUAGCAAUAUCCGGAGUAAAGUGGCGCACGGGUGAGUAACACGUAGGCAAUCUAGCAAUAGGACGGGAACAACCCGCCGAAAGGCGGGCUAAUACCCGAUGAUGCAGCGGCACCGCAUGGUGACAGUUGUUAAAAGCCCAAAAGGCGCCUAUCGAUGAGCCUGCGCCUGAUUAGCUAGUUGGUGAGGUAACGGCCCACCAAGGCAACGAUCAGUAGCUGGUCUGAGAGGAUGACCAGCCACACUGGAACUGAGACACGGUCCAGACUCCUACGGGAGGCAGCAGUGAGGAAUAUUGCGCAAUGGUCGAAAGGCUGACGCAGCGACGCCGCGUGGAGGAUGAAAUCCGUUAGGAUGUAAACUCCUUUUGUUGGGGAUGAAUCUCCCGUUUCACGGGACUGACUGUACCCAGCGAAUAAGGAUCGGCCAACUACGUGCCAGCAGCCGCGGUAAUACGUAGGAUCCGAGCGUUGUCCGGAAUUACUGGGUGUAAAGGGCGUGUAGGUGGAUCUCUAAGUCGGUGGUGAAAUCCCGCAGCUUAACUGCGGAACUGCCUCCGAUACUGGAGAUCUUGAGUACGGCAGAGGGAGAUGGAAUUCAUGGUGUAGCGGUGAAAUGUGUAGAUAUCAUGAAGAACACCAGUAGCGAAGGCGGUCUCCUGGUCCGUAACUGACACUGAGGCGCGAAAGCGUGGGGAGCAAGCAGGAUUAGAUACCCUGGUAGUCCACGCCUUAAACGAUGGAUACUCGGUGCUGGCCCGUGAGGGUCAGUGCCUAAGCCAACGCAUUAAGUAUCCCACCUGGGGAGUACGAUCGCAAGGUUG